AUUGGUGACAUUGGUGUUGGUAUCCGCCAUCUUGUACUGCAUUUUGUAUCUGCUUAUGCUUUACCAUUUGAGCAUAGUCUUGUUACGUAUUGUCAUAUGUAUCAUUUGGAAACAUUAAUUGUUUGUUCAAACAACAUAAUAAUUACCUUACAUUUUUGUCGUCGCAUCGUUCGUCGCAACUUUCAAGCAGUUUUUCAUAGAACAUGAGCGAAUAGUAACAAAUCCAAGAGUUCGGGUCGACGGUGACGCGGAUUCCAUGUACAUUUGGGUAAGUCAAUAUAACUUUACGCCCCGUUAUCUGAUAAAAUGGUAUUUCAAAAGUACAAAACAUCCAUACAAAAUUUUACAGUUUUUUUCUCGCGAUGUUUUGUAUUAUUUUGACUACCCACUCGUUUUCGUGCAACGUUGACAAAUGUUGAUCAGCCGUAAUAAAAUGAAUAUGGUGGCGGCCAUUACGUGUAUUGCAUGCUUAAUUUGCUUGUACAAUAAUAUCCGAAACAUAAAUAUGUAAGGUUCUUUGAAUAAUAUUAUAGCAACAUUUCAUUUAAAUUGAUUUUGGAUGGCCAUAUGUAUAGUUAAAAUUAAAUAUGUUUCAUUUUUCACAUAGGUACCUGGCUUGAAACUUAUCUAAUUAUAUCUAAAUAUUAAGUAAAGGAUUACUGAAUAAUAUUACUAAAAUAUUAUCAUAUUAUGAUUAAAUGAACAAUAUUUCAGUUAUAGAGUUGGUAUAUUUAUUAUUAUGCACAAUGAUUCUUAAUUAAAUUAACGUCAAUAAUUUUAUUUUGUUUUAGUUUAAACAUUGUUUUACCAAAAUUCUAAAUUAAAUAUAAAUAUUUUAUUUACUGUUUGCAUUUAACAAAUUUGACCUAUGUACCAAUGUUUUAACUAUUCAUUUAUUUUUAUUUAAAAUUUAAACCUCAUAUUUUUAAAUAGUCAUAAGAGAAUAAAAUUGAAAUUCCAUUUGAAUGAAUUGGUUAUAAUAAGUUAUCACUUAUCAAGAAUAAUCUUUUGUGGAUCAUAAUAAUAUUUGGAAUGAUUCUAGUUUGGCAUGCUAGGGAUUUUUUUUCACAAGCACCUAAUUUAGAAUAUAAAAAACCCGAUGAAUUUUGUUUGCAAGUUAGGAUUGGAGGGAAAUUCCGAAAGUUCAAUUUCUUUUUGUUGUAGUUAUUGAGGUAGGAUUUAAUAUUAAAAAAAAAAAAAAAAAAAAAAAAAAAAUGUUUUUCUAAAUGUAGUAAUACUCAUAAAUCAUUGGUAUCGUUUAAAUUUAUCUAUCACACUUAAUUUUUGAACAUAAACCUUAAAAAUAGAAGCCUUGGAAUUAAUCCAAAAUGUAUUUUUAUUUUCAUUAUACGUUUUUGAUAACAAAGUUUAUUUGUUCAAGUCAAAAUAAGUUUAUCUAGCUUGGUUUUAGAGUUACAGACCUUAAAACUCUGUAAUUAAUGGGGCGCCUCAACAAAAACGUUCUCUUGAUCUGAUUCUCCACAUUGUUUUCACAUAUAUCUGUCAUCCUAAUAUCAUUUUCAAAUGUACCCAACAACCCCUAUUUUAGUUUUCUUCUCCCAUAUUUAUUUUCAUUUUAACUCUUACCUGUUUCUAAUUUUUUUGAUUUUAUAUUUUAUUGAAGCCUUAAGCUGCGUCCUAUGCAUUCCUUAUACUAUCUUUAAAUUAUCACUCUUCUCAUAAAUCAAAAUCUUGUUAUCUCCACAAAACUUAUUUUGUGGUCUUACCAAACUUUUAUAGCACUGACCUUUAAGUUUCAUUGAAAUUUUCUUAUCACAUAAAAUAACUGAAUCUUCUCUCCACUUGAUCUAACCACAAUUAAUCCUAUGUUUUACAUCCUCUUUAAAGCCAUUAUUCUUUUGUACAAAACAUUCUAAGUAUUUAAAACUUUCAACCUCACCCAUUAUGUCACCACCAUCUAAUUAUAAUUUAUCCUGUUUUACUUAUUCUUGGUCGUCCAUUUCCUUCAAAUGCUACUUGCUCUCUAUUCACCUAUACAUUUAUUGUUAACUUUUUCUGAAUUUUCUUCUUGGUAACAUGCAAUGUUAUUAUCUUCUAAAUCCAAUACAAUACUACCUAUAGUUUAUACAAUAAUAAUUGUACUGAGUAGUGUGCGCCUAACAUCAAAUUUUAUUACAUCACUGUCUUUUGUUUGACAACAACUUGUAAUGUAUGGUGAUAUACAGGAGGCUUGUCUAUUAGUAGGUAUAAGGUAUAUCAAUGUGAAACUUUUUACCCCUGAUUGGUAAUGAUUGUUUUUCAUGAUAAUUUUAGUGCUAAAGAUAUGAUAUAAUACCAACAUACUUAUACAAAAAUAUAAAUCCUAUUUUACAGUGCUAUAAUUACUUAUUAUUAUAAUCUUUAUUGUACAUAAUAGAAUAAACAGCAACAUAAGCUUCCUUCAAAAUUUUAUUGGCGGUUGUACUGAUACCUCAUUGCUCCCUUAUAAACUUUUAUGUUCCUCCACAUCUAAUCCGCCCUAUUGCUUAAUUUUUUUUAUUCUUACAAGUUCAACUAAUUACUGUCAGAAUAAUCUAAUUGACUGAUUAAUGCUUCUAGCCAACACCCACCCUUUAUUUCUGUUGUAAUCUGGUAGCUAGUUCUAUCUCACUUCUACUAAACUCAGACUACCUAUUGGUAAAUAUUUACCAUUGUAUUUUGGGUCAAACCUGUAUUUAAUCAAAAUAAAAUAAAUAAAUAAUAGUCAUUUUAUUGUUAGAUGUUUUUCUAUUACUUGAAUAUAUAAGUGGUAUACUAUUUAGGUGAUAAAUAGUUUGAAUAUGUUGGUUUUUUAUUUUUAUAUUAAAAUUGUAUGAUAGAUCUGUAUAAAGUAGGUUCACGACAGUAUAAUUAAUUAACUAUAGAGUAAUUUAAAGUAUUGUUAACUUUUGAUUAUCACAUAUAUUCAAAAAGUACAUUUAAUUGACAAAUUGUCCUGUAAUCUCUAAAAAAGUUUGACUUAUUAUUUUUACUUUAUUGUGUGUAGUGUGGAUAGUGUAUAUUUUUCCAUAAUAUGAGAUUUGUAUAAACAUGUACAGGUAUUUAAUUGUUUAUAAAUAAUUUUAUACUAUAAAUUAUUAAUAAAAAAAUAGUACCACAGUAUCUGGUUUAUGUAUUAUUAUAUCUACAAAAGAGGAAUUUGAUAUUGUAAGAAUGAUAAAUGUAGGAAGGAAGAGUAAAACUGAAAAAAGUUGUUGGAUGUGAUUUAAAAUUAGAAUAACCAAUGUAUGGAAGUGUAUUUUGUGGGUGAUCUGGGUUAAAUGUAAUUUUUGGACGAGGGUAGCACACUCUAAAUAAUUAGGAUGAAUUUAAAGAAGAAGAUAGUGCUUCUCAAUAUCACUGAUUAGUGUGAAUAAUAUUAUCAAUAUUAUGAAGGCAAUCAGAAGGCAUGAAAAUAGCCACUUCCCCAUUUCGAAUAUUACAAUAAUGUGUAUAGAUAUUUGUUCCAGCCCAAUAAAGUUAGGCAGAUUAACCUAUUAGUCAGAACUUCUUUAUUCUAUAUUAUAAAAUCUCAGUCGCUGUGUUUUAUAAAAAAGAAAUAUCUUUUUCAAAUAAUAAGUAAUAAGUAAUGUUACUAAGGUUGGAAAAUCAUAAUAGUAAAUUUGAAACUUCUGUAAACUAGGUAAUCCAUUUUUACUUGGUGUAUAAGGAAAGUAGACUAAUAUUUACAGCGUAAUGAUUACAUUAUUCAUAAUUUUUUUGCAACUUCGUUCUGCCAGAAUUCUUGUUCUAAAUUUCAAGACUAGCAUCUUUUUUUCUCUUGCAAUUACUGAAUACCAGAGAAUAUCAAGAUGUAUUUAACUACUGUAUUCAGUACUUGAGCAUUAUUUUGACUACCAAUAUAUUUCUAAAACUAACUCUUAGAUUAUAUUCUAUAGUUAGAGCCACAGCCUAUAGAUUAUAUAUGAUGCACAUGUUAGCGACGAGUAACCAGGUUAGUAAUUUUUAGUGAGCAUGCGUGCCGGCGAUUAGUCACAUAUUUAUCUCAAAUUAUUAGCAUAUAUAUUUUGUUCAUAUCUAUAAUAUAUUAUAGGUACUUUGUAUAGAUUACAGUUUAUUGUCUAUUCAAUGAACUAAAGUUUUAAUUCAUUAAAAUGCAAUUAUUAUUAUCAUUUAUCUUAUCAGUUAUUUAACAUUUAUCACAUUAUAUUAAAGCACUGGAAUAAAUAUGCGACUAGUCGCUAGCACACAUGUGCAGUAACGGCUACUCACCUGGCAACUCAUUGCUAAGAUGUACAUCAAAAUAUUGAGCUGUGAUUUCAACCAUUGAAUAUUAUAUAAAAACUACCUCCUAUAACUUGAUAAUAAACUGUCCGUAUAUUUCAAUCAUUCAGACUUUUUCCUAACUAAAGUUUUUAGUGUAAAACUUGUUUUCAAACAUUUCAUUUUUAAAAGUAUUUUUGGAUAAUAAGACUUAAUCUUAUCCAAAACAAAUAUUAUUAAUUUGAUUUUAAUUAUUUAAGUUUUAUUUUUUAUUUUAACAUUUUAAAAUAUAAUAAUAUAAAAUGUUUGUUUAUUUAUUUGAUAUCAAAUUGCAGUAAUCGAAAUAACAUGAAUGAUCAUACUAAGUAGUCAAGAUAAUGCACCAGUACAAAUUAAGAUGCAUAUGAUACAGAAUGAGCACUUAUCAGUUGUUAUACGAAACUUCUUCGUUCUUGAACUAAUAAUUAGCUUUUGAAUGUGACAGUGGCGAGUUUUGUACUAUAAUCUGGCUCACGAAAAGUGAGUACUGAAAAAAGCAUUCACCAGUGGCAAUUUCUUAAUAAAACUAGAUAAUUUAUAUCUCAUAUAAAAUUGUAUU